UGACCCAUGCAAGUCGAACGGUAGCACAGAGAGCUUGCUCUCGGGUGACGAGUGGCGGACGGGUGAGUAAUGUCUGGGAAACUGCCUGAUGGAGGGGGAUAACUACUGGAAACGGUAGCUAAUACCGCAUAAUGUCGCAAGACCAAAGAGGGGGACCUUCGGGCCUCUUGCCAUCAGAUGUGCCCAGAUGGGAUUAGCUAGUAGGUGGGGUAACGGCUCACCUAGGCGACGAUCCCUAGCUGGUCUGAGAGGAUGACCAGCCACACUGGAACUGAGACACGGUCCAGACUCCUACGGGAGGCAGCAGUGGGGAAUAUUGCACAAUGGGCGCAAGCCUGAUGCAGCCAUGCCGCGUGUAUGAAGAAGGCCUUCGGGUUGUAAAGUACUUUCAGCGGGGAGGAAGGUGUUGUGGUUAAUAACCGCAGCAAUUGACGUUACCCGCAGAAGAAGCACCGGCUAACUCCGUGCCAGCAGCCGCGGUAAUACGGAGGGUGCAAGCGUUAAUCGGAAUUACUGGGCGUAAAGCGCACGCAGGCGGUCUGUCAAGUCGGAUGUGAAAUCCCCGGGCUCAACCUGGGAACUGCAUUCGAAACUGGCAGGCUGGAGUCUUGUAUAGGGGGGUAGAAUUCCAGGUGUAGCGGUGAAAUGCGUAGAGAUCUGGAGGAAUACCGGUGGCGAAGGCGGCCCCCUGGACAAAGGACUGACGCUCA
rnacentral:rRNA from 1 species